CAGUCGCCGCGGGAAUACGAAGGGUGCAAGCGUUACUCGGAAUUACUGGGCGUAAAGCGUGCGUAGGUGGUGGUUUAAGUCCGUUGUGAAAGCCCUGGGCUCAACCUGGGAAUUGCAGUGGAUACUGGGUCACUAGAGUGUGGUAGAGGAUAGUGGAAUUCCCGGUGUAGCAGUGAAAUGCGUAGAGAUCGGAAGGAACAUCUGUGGCGAAGGCGACUAUCUGGGCCAACACUGACACUGAGGCACGAAAGCGUGGGGAGCAAACAGGAUUAGAUACCCCAGUAGUCCCUGUCUCUUAUAC
rnacentral:rRNA from 1 species